ACAGAAGAGGGAUAGAUUACUUUAGGCUGAGUGAGGUGGCUUUUGAGUUCCUACUAGAAGCGUGGGUAGAAUUGUGACUAGAAGAGAGAGGAAGGUCUGGAUGGAGCAACAAGAGUCUGGGCUAUUAACACAGGUUUGAGUCAGGCUGACCGGAGCUGUAAAGCCCUUCUCGUUCUCACUGUUUGUUCUUUUCAGUUCUGUCUUCCUGAGGCUGCUGUUUCUGGGCAUGGCCAGGGGAUCUUCAGACUUUACAAACCAGUUGUGCAGAGCCAGGCAUUUCAAUAAGGAACAAAAUGCUGAGUAACAACAUGAAGUCAGAGUGUUGCUUGCCAAGAGCUGGGAGGCCUGGGUGGUUUCCCAAUCUUAAAGAAGCAGAAGGAUAUUAAAGUGAGCCUCCCAAAGGAAAACGUGGAUCUACUUACCAACGCAGAAAAUGAUACACACGGAUUCGAUUUAGGCACGCUACAUUCAAAUGACUUGGAAGAGCAGUUUCUCUGAGCCAGGAUACUAAAGUCCGUGUUUAGGAAAGAGCCACGUUGUAUGUUUACCCUACCACAAAGAUACAGAAUUCUGGAGGAAAGUGGCUCUGGGAAUUGAACAGUGGCUCAGUGAUGUUGGGGCCACCAAGUCUGCAAUUCUCCCGACCUGUUCUUCACGGUUGUAAGAUGACUGCUGCAAUUCUCGGCAUCAUGUGCAUGUUAAUGUCAGGAGGAAGAGAGGAAGAGGGAGCACUGGGAUGUUACACUCAUUUUGUCAGGAAAAGCAAAGCCUUUCCAGACAGCCCCGAAACUUGCUUACCUCUCAUUGGCCAGCACCAUCACUUGACCACUUGUCCACUCCUAGCUGCAAGGAAAGUGGCAAAGUAGAAGGUAUUUGAGAAUGUCUGCUGGGUUAGCCAAAACAAUAGUGACUUCUACACCCAAUUUUCUGGGCACUGCAUAAGUAUCCUUGAUUCCUAUGUGAUCAGAGGGAGAGCAAACCUCAAUAAUGAAACAGAUUCAAUUUCCAUCACCCAGUGAGAUACCAUGGGAUUAGAAUAAAUUUUUAAAAAAACAAAUUGAAAAAAAUGCACUUUCAAAACAACAAAAUCAGAAAGGAUGAAAGGUGAUAUUUCUAGCAUAUCAGUUUGUGGUGGUAAAUUAAUUACCUUAUACAAAGGCCUCAGUGACUUUCUUCUCCUUACCUAACGAAUCAUCUUUAAAAUAAGUAAAAUAAAGAAACAAGAGCAGCAGCAGAUGCUUCCUAACAAGAAGUUACCAAAUCUGUUCACCACAAACCUGAGAAUUCAACUGUGGACAUUUGGACACCAGCAAUGAACAUGAAACUCAGCUUAUGAGGCAUAUUUGGCUAAAGGUCAAGGUGACUUAAAGUUCAUCAUAGGACAUCUACAAUUUGCAAAGCAGGUGACUGGAUAUGGACUCCUUCCAAGUCUCAUUUAAUUGGAUAAUGCCUACGUUUUAAGUAUCAGAAGUGAGUCUUUCUCUAUUAAAUGAAGUCAGUUCCACUAAAAUCUAAAUCUUGUUUGGCAGGCACUCCAUGUUUCUUAAUUUUUAUUCCAUGCUGUAUAUUCUUUUAGACUUGAUUUUCACUUUUUUUUCUUUUUUCCUGUAAGUUUAUCUUUGCUGUGAAACAAAGUGCCCUGCUUUGAAGGACAGGUUUGUGGGCUGCUGGUGGUGAGACAACAGCAGUCCUUCCAGGUCUUCCUCCCAUCACUGUGUUAGCUCUCCCUUUGUUUUUAAUUAGCAUUACACCAGUUAAUUCUGUUGUCUCUUAACCCUGGUUCUGCAUCCUCUUCUUUUCUAUUCCUUACUCUGCUCCUGUUUUUUCUUGUUCUGCUUUUCCAAGAAAUGUCUUCUCUCCUCAUCAGUUGACUGUCUUCUCUUUCCAGAGGGACCAUAAAGGUGCCAGCCUAAGGAACACGUAAAACGUGGGAACAGACAAACAAGCUGCUGCCUAUUACAGAGAUAGAUAAUUAACUUUGGACCAUUACAUGCAAUUCAUCAGCUUAUCUUUUUCAAACUUUAUGUAAGAAGUCAUUUCCCAAUGGUAACCACUUGCCAGCUGCAACUUUGACGCAUAUUAUCAGGAUAGGUGAGAUUGAUGGGGGCCCUUUGAACUCUUCCCAGGGAAUAAUCUUUAUAAUGUUACAGUUUUCUCUAUAGCAUGGUCAUAUUGUUAACAUUGGUUAUAAGGUCAUAUGGUUAGUAUGGUUAGUAUUGGUGGCUCACAGCUGUAAUACCAGCACUUUGAGAGGCCAAGGUGGGAGGAUCACUUGAGCCCUGGUGUUCAAAACCAGCCCUGGAAACAUAGCAAGACCUUGUGUCUACAAAAAAAAAUUAAAUAAAUUAAAAGAUUAGCUGGGCAUGGUGGCACAUGCCUGUAGUCCUCACUACUUGGGAAACUAAGGUGGGAGGAUCCCUUGAGCUUGGGAGGUUGAGGCUGCAGUGAGCUGCGGUUGUGCCAUGGCACUCCAGCCUGGGUGACAGAGUGAGACCCUGUCUCAAAAAAAAAAAAAAAAAAAAAAAAGUACCUGUAAGGUCUUUGGGAUUUCGAAGAUGAAAGGUGUCACAUAAAUUGAAUGAAUUUGCUUAGAGAGAUAGAAGGCAACUACAGGGAAUAUUACGUACAUCAUGGAGCGGAAAGUACUAAGGCCUGUGGAAUUAUUCUCAGUGACACGUAGUUGAGGGCAGUGGUCCACAGGUUUUAAACAUGGUUUCUCCCAGGUGAAAAGGAUGAGUAAUUUGUUCUCCUUCACGUGUGUGUAUGUAGGUCUUAUACACAGCAGAUUUGCCACAAAACAAAUGAAGAUUACACUUUGGGCCCCUCUCUCACAUGAGUCCCUUCCAAAGUUCUGUUUGCUAAUUUUACAUUUUGUAAUUUCUUAUUAUUUUUGUUAAAGAAGCCUCCUCCAACUGCAUAAACUUCAAGCCUCACAAAAUUUGGAUCCAUACCUGAGCCAACAUACAAUACAAUUUUCCAUUUCUAACUUUUAGUUGUACCUAGUGUUUUAUUGGAAAUGAUCAAGUACAUGAGUGGUGUCUUUUUAAAAAAUUUACUUUAUUUGCUUCUCUAGCUUCAUCGUUAGUUAUGCAGUUAAAUCUAACCAUUUGGAGGUAUUUUCAUAUAACCUCCAUUGAGGACAAUUUGGCAAUAGCUUUUAAAAUUAUAAAUAUAUUUGUACAGUUAUAAGCUGCCAUAUCCAUAAAACUAUUUGAUAGACAAAAGUUGAAAACCCUCCAAGAGCUCAUCAAUAAAAGAUUAAAUUAAUUAUGAUACAUCCAUAUGAGCACUGAGCAGCUGUGAAAAAAAUGAGGAAGUAAUUUCUGUGCUGAUAUGGGAAGACUUCCAAGACAUGUUGUUAAGUACAGAAUGGUGUAUACAGUAUGCUAUAUAGUGUGGUAAAAGGUUUAGGGAUAAGCAUUUAUAUUUUUAGCUGUUUGUAUUUACAUAAAGUAAUUCUGAAAGGAUACAAAAAAGCUAACAAAAGAGAUUACCUGUGGUAGUGUGGGGUUUGGGGAUGGAUGGGUGAGAAACAGUAGUGGAAAUGAGAUAUUGUACAGUUUAAGGCAUUAUACAUCUAUAAAAACAUGGGAAUGUAUUACCUACUCAAAAAGUGAAAUUAAGAAAGAUACAAGAAGCUGUUUGGAUGUUCCUUCCCAUUUCAAUGUAUCUGUAUUUUUUCAGCCCUCAAAGUUAUUAUAAAUGUCAUUAUAAUAACUUCAUAAAGCUUCCCCUAUAAUGAGAAUCUUACCAUUCUCCUAACUCCAAUAGCACUAUAAUCCACCUCUGUUAGGACACAUCACUCUUCAUCAUGUGUGAUUAUUAUUUGCAGAUAUCAUCUUCAAGGCUCUUCUCUAUUUACCACCUGCCAUUCUUGUUCUCACCUCUACUUGACCUUCACAUUUUAUUUCUCUCGGUUUUUUGGACAAGCUACAUUCCCUUCCACAGAGAAGGCUUCCCUGACCCCUUUCACUUGGUUGGAUUACCUUGCUAUUCUUUUCUAUCUUUGUACAUUCCUUUUCAAAAUACUUAUCUCCCUUGUUGUUACCUAUAAUGUCUGUCUUCUUUACUCAAGAGUCUAGACAAAAAGCUCCACGCCAGCCUCGGCUGUGUUUGUAUUGUUUACGUCUGUGUUCCUAGUGCUUAAUAAAAUACCUAGCAAGGGUUAAUAAGUACUUGUUGACUGGAAGGGAAUGACUUCCUUCCCUUACUAGAGAGUGAUUUCCUUACAGGCAAGAUGUGUCAACCUUCUACAGCCCACAUAAAAUAAAGGACAAUAUCUCCUAUUGGAUAAAAGACAA